CCUGUAAGAACUUGAUAAUGAUGAGAAAUCCAGUUCUAUUCUCAUAUUUGCUCUGUUGGCAUUUUGCAGGCCAUUGGUUCAGCAGUGUUGACCAAAAGCCUGCUGCGGUCAUUGUGAGUCCUGGAGCGUCCUGCACUCUCUCCUGUUCCCACAGUAUCUCCAACUACAACACCAUACUGUGGUACUACCAGCGUGGGCAAAACAUGCACAUUAUUGGAUAUUCCUUUCAUUCGACCCCCAAUCUGGAGAACGCAGCAGAUAAAAAAUAUGAUCUGAAAGGAGAUGCCAAGAGUUCUGUGACCCUGACAAUCUCAGAGCUCACGCUGAAUGAAAGCGCAGUCUAUUUCUGUGCAGCAAGUGCACACAGUGCUCUAGGGCCCCCAUGAGCCCUACGAAAAGCCUAUCAUCUUUUGUGCAUCUUU